UAAAGUCUAACCUGCCCACUGAAAAUUUUUAAAUGGCCGCAGUAUUUUAACUGUGCAAAGGUAGCAUAAUCAUUAGUCUUUUAAUUGAAGGCUGGAAUGAAUGGUUGGACGAGAUAUUAACUGUUUCAUUUAAAUUUUUUAUAGAAUUUUAUUUUUUAGUCAAAAAGCUAAAAUUUAUUUAAAAGACGAGAAGACCCUAUAAAUCUUUAUAUUUUAUUUAUUUUAAUUAUAAAGAUUAUUUUUAUUAUAAUAAAUUAAAAUAUUUUAUUGGGGUGAUAUUAAAAUUUAAAAAACUUUUAAUGAUUAAAAUCAUUAAUGUAUGAAUAUUUGAUCCAUUAAUAAUGAUAAAAAAUUUAAGUUACUUUAGGGAUAACAGCGUAAUUUUUUUGGAGAGUUCAUAUCGAUAAAAAAGAUUGCGACCUCGAUGUUGGAUUAAGAUAUAAUUUUGGGUGUAGCCGUUCAAAUUUUAAGUCUGUUC
rnacentral:rRNA from 2 species